rnacentral:rRNA from 1 species
AUGACGAUGGGGGCGGCGGCGACGGCGGCGGCGAAGAAGGCCGGCAUAGACAUCGACUGGUUAGAUGCGUUCCGCGCCUGCCCCGACCGCGACGAUGACGUCUGCUUCGCCUCCCCUCCCUCGGCGUCCGGGAAGGGAAAGGGGAGGGCCAAAGGGAAUGCGUCCGCCCGCUCCUCCCCCGGCUUCGGCGACGGCGAGGGAUUCGUCUCCCCUCCCCCGGCGCCGGCCAAGGGGAAGGGGAGGAGGGAUGAGGGGGCGGAGGCGGAGGGGGAGUUCUCGGGGAGAUCGAACGACGGGCUGCGGCGGGACAUCGCGGAUUUGUCGGACGAGGCGCUGCAGCUUGAGAUCGCGUACGCCCGCAGCACGCACCCCGCAUUCGGAGGCCUAAUCGAGCAGGAGAAGAGGGAAGGCCGCAAACGCCUCCUCCGGCUGUUUGAGGAGGAGGCACGGCGCCGGGGGAUCGAUACGAACAGCNNNNAGGAUGGCGGUGCUUCCUAUCGGGAUCCUCGUUCUGAUGCUUACUUAUUUGAUAUUGAUGAUUCAGAGGCAGAACGUGCUGCCCGCAGAUACCAUCCGAAGUCAUCUCCCAUUCCCAUUCGCUCGACAAAGAAAAACUACGGAGAGCUAGGUCUGUUUUCACGCAGAAGUUUCAAACAACCUGGACGAAUGAGACCUAUACCAGAGGAUAAGAUGUACUCAAGCAAAACAUCUCCAACUACUUUAUCUGGGCACAAACAGAGAGUCCGUGCUGUUGAUCCAAAGGAACAUGAUAGUGAAAAACGUCGGCAGAUUCAAAGCAACUUCUUCGCCAAUUAUGCAAAUAGGAGGAAUGUACAGCAUGGAGAUUCAUCUGUUUUAUAUUCUCGAAAGGUUAAUGAUGUGGUUCUCGUGGAUGACGAAGAUGCGCAAUCUGAUGAACCAGUAGACUGUCGGGUGCCAGAGGAAUGGAAUGAUUCAAAAAUUUACUAUCCAUCAAGAGAUGAUCCAGAAGCUGUAGAGCUCACCAGUUCGGAUAUCAAAUGCCUUGAUCCUGGAGUAUAUUUGUCGUCCCCUGUAAUAAACUACUACAUUCAAUACAUCAAAAGAGACAAAUUUCAACGUGAAGCUGCCAGAAACAAUUUCCACAUGUUUAACACAUAUUUUUACAGCAAGCUUCAAGAAGCAUUAUCUGGGAAGGGCGAGUUCGUGAAGUUGAGAAGAUGGUGGAAAGGUGUCAAUAUAUUUCAGAGAGGAUACAUUAUACUGCCAAUCCAUGGAACGGCACACUGGAGCCUGGUGAUUAUCUGCAUUCCUGCAAAAGAGAGUAAUUCAGGACCAAUCGUAGUUCAUCUGGACUCCUUAGGGAUGCAUCCUACUGAUGACAUUUAUCAUACAGUUAGGAGAUUCCUUGAAGAGGAAUGGAAGCAUUUAAGGAAGAACCCUCCUUCUGACAUUUCUAUUUCAGACACAAUAUGGGAGGAUCUUCCAAGGAAUAUUCACAAGGAAAAUGUUGAGGUUCCAGGGCAGAACAAUGCAUAUGAUUGUGGCAUCUUCAUGCUUUACUAUAUUCAACGGUUUAUAAUUGAAGCACCAGAAAAUUUCACAAGAGAUAGACUUGUCAUGUUUAGUCGCAGUUGGUUUAGAUCUGAAGAGGCUUCUAAUUUAAGAAACAAGAUAAGGAAACUACUGCUGAAAGAGUUUGAAAAUGCGAGGGUUGAUGAUGUUAUGUCUGAGGCAGCUACAGCUGAUGGCUCUGAUGAUGACUGUUUCAUGAAGGAAGGAGAAUCAGAGGCACCUACAGCUGAUGGCUCUCAUGAAGACUGUGUGAUGAUGGAGGGAGAAUCAGAGGCGGUUAUACCUGAGGCAGCUACAGCUGAUGGCUCUGAUGAUGUUAAGCCAGGGGCAGCAACAUCUGAUGGCUCUGAUGGAAUCUUAUGGAAAGGAAAAUCAGAAGCAGUUGCAUCUCGUGACAGUUUAGAAAUGGUGGUCGGAGGUGGAGACACAUUUGAAGGAACACCUUGGAGCACCCGCAAAAGUGAUGGAAGGAACACAGUAUGUGUUCUUUCUGAAGAGGCUACAUUGCCUGGUAGCGCGGUGAAGGACGAUGAAUAUACCAUGAAAUCAGAUCCUGACAGCUCAGAAAGUGAAGAAGUUGUUGAGUUCUUACCUUCUGACAAUGACAAUGACAAUGAAGAGGUCAUGCAUAGAGCAACACGGCCGGAUUUAUUUUAUUGUGAUGACAGCUGUGACAGUGAAGCAGAAGAGGUCACAGGUGCUUGGAACCGAAGAUCAAGAACAAUGAAGAGGCCAGACAGAGCCGGUGAUGUGCAGAUCAUAGAAGAUCGAAAGCCAAGAGCUAGAUUGGAACUCUGCCGCAUGACGUGA